AGCACUUUCUGAGAAGCCCCGUGCAGCUGCUAACAGUGACUGCCUAGGGGAAAAUGGACUUGAAGGAGUAGAGGCCAACUUUUCAUUUUAUACCUUUCUAUACUUUUUAGGACUACCACCUAUGUACGUGCAUUUUAUUUUUGUUAAAUGUUCGCAGGGGAUAUCUGGCAGGACAAGGAACUGGCUGGAAAGGGGCGCGAGGAGAUCUUCUGGGUGACGGAGAUCCAGGUGGUGGUUACUCAGAUGUAUUUUAUCCUUCAAUGAGAAGUUUAUUUCGAAAACGUCCUGUGUCUCUUCCAAAGAUAGCUCCAGCUGGGCAAAGUGGCAGCUCUGUGGGCUCCAACGGAAGAGGCCAAAAGGCCCAUCCUCCUCCUGUCCCCUGGGUUCAAUUCACAGCCCUGCCUGUCUCUAGCUGUGUGAUCCUGGACGUGCCUCUCUGCUUCCUCAGCUCCUGCUUCAAGACAGGCCUAACCAAAUUUUGAGAAGUCCCCAGCAGAGCUCCCGACCCUAGUAGAUCAGAGAAGAAGAAUGAAUGUUCUGAGUGGGUACCACAUGGCAGGUGCUAUUCUAAAUACUGAACAGCUGUGAACCCAUUUAAUCCCCGUAAGAAACUGGUGAGCUUGGUUUCAUUUGACUCAAGAGGCCCAGAGACGAAAGCAACUGGUCCAGGGUCACACAGCCAGCAGGAAGUGGAUCAGGGUUGGAACCUGGGCAGUCUGGCCCUGAAGCGCUGCAGAAAGUAUUAUUUUGGGAGCAAAUAGGUAAUAGGUGGUGAGAGCCACCUAAAAAUACCCCUCCUCUCUGGCCCAGUAACCACUUCUAGAAAUCUGCCCUAAACAAGUAACUCAAAUAAAGCGAAAGCUGAGAUACA
rnacentral:lncRNA from 1 species